rnacentral:rRNA from 1 species
AGGCUGAGCUGUGAUGCCGAGGGAAUUAUAGUACCGAAGUUCCUGAUUCCACACUGCCAAGAAAAGCCUCUAGCAAGAUAAAAGGUGCCCGUACCGCAAACCGACACAGGUAGGCGAGGAGAGAAUCCUAAGGUGAGCGAGAGAACUCUCGUUAAGGAACUCGGCAAAAUGACCCCGUAACUUCGGGAGAAGGGGUGCUUUUUAGGGUGCAUAGCCCUGAAGAGCCGCAGUGAAUAGGCCCAGGCGACUGUUUAGCAAAAACACAGGUCUCUGCGAAGCCGCAAGGCGAAGUAUAGGGGCUGACGCCUGCCCGGUGCUGGAAGGUUAAGAGGAGGGGUUAGCUCACGCGAAGCUCUGAAUCGAAGCCCCAGUAAACGGCGGCCGUAACUAUAACGGUCCUAAGGUAGCGAAAUUCCUUGUCGGGUAAGUUCCGACCCGCACGAAAGGCGUAACGAUCUGGGCACUGUCUCAACGAGAGACUCGGUGAAAUUAUAGUACCUGUGAAGAUGCAGGUUACCCGCGACAGGACGGAAAGACCCCGUGGAGCUUUACUGUAGCCUGAUAUUGAAUUUUGGUACAGCUUGUACAGGAUAGGUAGGAGCCU